GAAGCGAGGCUGUGAAGCGGAGCAAAUCUCAAAAACCGGUCCCAGCUCGGAUUGUAGGCUGCAACUCGCCUACAUGAAGUCGGAGUUGCUAGUAAUCGCGGAUCAGAAUGCCGCGGUGAAUGCGUUCCCGGGUCUUGUACACACCGCCCGUCACACCAUGGAAGUUGGGGGCGCCCGAAGUUGCCUAAGAAAUAAGGUACCUAAGGCGAAACCAAUGACUGGGGUGAAGUCGUAACAAGGUAAC
rnacentral:rRNA from 1 species